AAUGUAUGACGCCAUUGACUUUUUAAUCAACGUUUGACCAUUCGUCUUAUUCAAAAAAUUUAUGUAAUUAUCAUUUAUUUUAUUGUGGCUUGAUUUAUUAUCAAAUAUUCUUUAAGUAUAACAUAAAUAUUUUUAUAUUUGAACAAAAAAUUUGAAUAAGACGAAUGGUCAAACGUUGUUCGAAGAGUCAACGGUGUCAUAUAUU
rfam:Oryza sativa (indica cultivar-group) chromosome 12, whole genome shotgun sequence.